UGCAAGGGCCACCAAGGCUAAAAUCUGGUCGUGCACCAUCUCGAAGAAGUCCUUUGGCAGGAGCUUCAAAAAGUACACUACCAAGAUGAUGGAAGCCUCCAGAUCAGCUAAGAGGAGGUACAACAAGGCUCAGUCCUCCCUCUACAAUUUUGAGGAGAAAUUGGAUAAUUUGCCGGUGGUGGUGGCAACAGCGGCGGAGGCUGACGAGCUGAGUGAUCUGACAAAGAAAUUCACCAAAACCACCAUUUCUGUUAUCGUUCCACCCGCUGCUUCCGAGAAAACCAUCUCUAAAUUGACAACCAUGGCCUCCGCGAAGGGUUUCACCGACCUACACUUGCACUUUUACCCUAUCGGAUGCUGAGAUCUACCUUGCCUCGGUGUUCUUAAUGUUGGGGAGGAUUCGAUAUGGGAAAGUGGCCAUAUACAAGAGGAGCCUGCUGGAGUAGAUCCCAUUUUUGACAGAGGAG